GGCUGCACCUGCGGCACAUGGAGGUUCCCAGGCUAAGGGCUGAAUCGGAGCUGCAGCUGCUGACCUACACCACUGCCACAGUAACACCAGAUCUGAGCCUCGUCUUCGACCUACACCACAGCUCACAGCAACGCCAGAUCCUUAACCCACUGAGCAAGGCCAGGGAUCGAACCCACGACCUCAUGCAUGUUGGUCAGGUUUGUUACCUCUGCGCUGCCACAGGAACUCCCUAGAGGACAUGGGUUUGAGUCCAGCACUGCCAUUUAGGGGCCAUUGAUCAUGGUGAAUUCAGUCGCCCUCUCUGGGCCCCAAGUUCCUCCUCCAUAAAUGGAGAAUAUGCAUUAAUUUUCACAGUAUGAAAAAAAUCUAAACUUUUCAAAAUCGGGUUAGCAAUGUAAUUAUUUUUUACAUAGAGAAUGUUUCCCUUAUUCCUUUAGGGUAAUUACAUAUUACAUGAUUGGUAAAUAAUUUGCCAAAAAAAAAAAAAUACUGAAAAGAAGAAUCAGAGACAAAAGCAUUUAAAAAAUAAGUCAUUUGCCUGCAAAAAAAAGUUUCACAAGGGAGUCUAAAUUUUAGAACAGUGGUCCUCAUCUUUGGGUGUAUAUUAGAAUUUCUUGGGAAAUUUUUAAAAUUCUUAUUGCCCUGCCUACCUGGACCAGCUAAACCAUAAUUUCAGAGGGGUAGAACCCACAAACAAAUAGUUUUUGAAAUCCCCUACAUGGGAAUGUAAAUUGAUACAACCAACAUGGAAAACAGCAUGGAGCUACCUCAGGGAAAUAAAUAUAGAACUACCAUAUGACUCAGCAAUUCCACUCCUGGACAUGUAUCCGGACAAAACUUGCCUUGAAAAAGACACGUGCACCCAUAUGUUCAUUGCAGCACUCUUCACUAUAGCCAAGACAUGGAAACAACCUAAAUGUUCAUUGACAGAUGAAUGGAUUAAGAAGACGUGGCAUAUACACACAAUGGAAUACUACUCGGCCAUAAAAAAGAACAAAAUAAUGCCAUUUGCAGCAACAUGGAUGGUACUAGAGACUCUCUACUAAAUGAAGUAAGUCAGAAAGAGAAAGACAAAUACCAUAUGAUAUCACUUAUAUCUGGAAUCUAAUACUUGGCACACAUGAACCUUUCCACAGAAAAGAAACUCAUGGACUCAGAGAACAGACUUGUGGUUGCCUAGGGGAAGGGGGAGAGAGUGGGAUGGACUGGGAAUCUGGGGUUAAUAGAUGCAAACUAUGGCAUCUGAAGUGGGCAAGCAAUGAGAUCCUGCUGUACCGCACAGGGAACUAUAGUCACUUGUGGUGGAGCAGGAUGGAGGAUAAUGUGAGAAAAAGGAUGUAUAUAUAUGUGUGACUGGGUCGCUUUGCUGUACAGUCAAAAUCAACUAUAAUGGAAAAAAUAGAAAUCCUAAAAAAACCUCCCCACAUGAUUCUAGUGUGAACCCUGACUGGGAACCAGAAGUUCCAGAAGGAGUGCUCUCACCAAAUCAAAAAAUAUUCAGACUACAGGUAUGUAAAGAAAAAACACAGAUGGCCGGUUGUUCACUCCUGCUGAGAAAAGAGCAGUUUUCACAAAGGACUAGCCGACGUGCAGAGUUACAGACAGAUAUCAGCCAUUGUCAAGGUCUGGAUAAGGCUGUUUGGUAAGGAAUUAGGAAGUUCCAGCACCUGGCUUAAGAUCUCAUUUACAUGGGGACUAGAUGGCGACAGGGGGACCCUGAUAAUGCUCAUGGCAGUCUGCUCCCCCCGUCCCCGGCCUGUUCCAGGGGAAAUACAUACUCACAAAGCAGAGCAAGAGGUCAGCUUUACUUUUUCAUAAGGAAAUAGGUGACGCUCAUAUUUAAUGUCCCUCUCAACUUCAAAACCACUCCCAAGAAGUGACCACCGAUAUUGUAGAUGUAAUGCUGUGCUUAUACAGAUUACACACACACACACACACACACACACACCACACUACAACACAGGCAUACACAUAACACAUGCACACACAAGCCUACACACACACACACACACACACACACACACACACACACUUGGGACUUUCACUGAGCACUUUAUUGUGGCCUUCCUCCCGUGUCAGGACAUCAGAUUUAUCUCAUUUUUAACAGAUGCAUAGUUCUCUUGAACUGUAUAUAAUGGAUUAUUUGGAUAUUCAAAUAAUCAAUUUACAAUUGUUAGUAAAAUCUUCCCUCACUUUUUCCAUUUCAUAUAAUACUGCAAUAAACUCACUUGUUUGUUUUUGUUUGUUUGUUUGUUUGUUUUUUUGUCCUUUUUGCUAUUUCUUGGGCCGCUCCCGCGGCAUAUGGAGGUUCCCAGGCUAGGGGUCGAAUUGGAGCUGUAACCACCGGCCUACGCCAGAGCCACAGCAACGCAGGAUCCGAGCGGCGUCUGCAACCGACACCACAGCUCACGGCAACGCCGGAUCGUUAACCCACUGAGCAAGGGCAGGGACCGAACCCGAAACCUCAUGGUUCCUAGUCGGAUUCGUUAACCACUUCGCCAAGAUGGGAACUCCCCACUUGUUUGUUGAUCGUUAGCUUUUUAGUAAACACAGUUCGAGGAGAGAGUCCUCGAGGUGUGAGCGCUAUGUUCAAAAGCAGACACUGUCCAAUCGCCCUCCAAAUGCCUGCAGCCAAUGACAUUUCUCCAAAUAAUACAAAGCGCCUGUUUCCCACACUCUCUUCAAGGCUGGUCUUUCUGUUUUUUACUGGCUCACUUAGGGGGUGUGUACAAGGCUCUGCGAAUAACGAAAUGCAGUUCCGAGGCGAGGUAUUCCGACCAGUGACUUGGCUGAAAGGACCCGCAUCAAAAGUAGCUGCCAGCCUCUGAGGCCAGCACAGUCAGACAGAGGCUUCUGUUCUGUGUCAGGUUGUUUUCUGUAAAUACUGCUUUCGGGCUUAGAUCCUAAUUUCUUAGGCCAUGAUGUCAGUCUUCCAGGGUGACAGGGCUGUAAAUAAGGAGUGAGAGGGAGGGACCCUCUGGCAGAGGCAGCUGUCCUUACCCUCAGAGCUUUUCUGCAAAAGAACUGCCCAGCACAGCAGACAGGCCCACUGGGGCCACCUGCAACAGUAGUUUGCGUGCACCCGGCAGGGAGAGCUCUGGGAGGGCGUCCCAUCUGCUCUGUCUUCAGUCUUUAUUCCACCUCCUUUCCAGGACCUCCGAGACGUCUCACUUUCACCAUUCAUUCGGGGCGCUGGGAGGUGGAGGCCUCAGCAUUUCCUAACUUAUUUUUUUAUGAAGCACUCGCCUCACCCAGUAGACUGAGAGUGUGCUCCCCGUUGACCUCAGCUCAGAAAGAAGGGAAGUCUGAUGCUAAGCUCCUCUUCCUCUACCACGGGCUCCACGCACCCCAAGACCCCCCGGGAGGUCCCGAUCCUCCUUCAGAACCAGAGCACAAGGACCGUCUUUCAUGCUCUUUUCUUGGUAGAACCUGACCUGUUGCAGAGCCGAGCGCCCCGCCUCUGUCUUGGGCACGUGACAGUCAGCCCUCAGGAACUUAGGUCCAGACCAAUAACGGACUUGUUGGCAUCCCCUCAUCUCCCAGUUAUGAAUUCCUUGGGUUCCGUGUGUCUCUACGUUCCAGUUGGUAGCACCUAACGAGUCUGCUGAAUGGAUUUUCCCUUAGUUUGAAUCCCUGCCUGGUUUGGCCAUAAGAAAACAAAUACCAUUCAUGGGGUGUGUGACAUAGACGCUGGUGCUCCCCAAUUAUUCCAUGAGAUCCUGCAUAUUUUCCAGCCUUCCUGGCACUUAGCAUGGAGCCAGGUGACAAAUUUAAGUUCACGGGCUCAAGGGGGAGUGAAGCAAUGCACAGCACUUGCCACCCGAGGACAUCGAGGAGGCUGAAAGCUGCACGCAUCUGCCGCGGUGGCUGGAAGCGAAGAACGCUGAGACGGUGAAGGGGCCACAGGGAGCAUUGCUAAGCGCACCACUGCUGAAAGGCGGCCACCAGAGAGGAUGGGCUGACCUGUAUCAGACUGCUCCGAAAGUGACAAAUAAGCCUCUGGCUUUGGAGGUUUGCUGCCACAGCAAAACUUAGCUUUACCCUGACCAACCGCGGGUGAGUUUCACAAGCUGAAAGUGUAAGGAGGAGACAAGCCCGUGGAAUAUGACAGCAUCACCGCGGGUGAGUUUCACAAGCUGAAAGUGUAAGGAGGAGACAAGCCCGUGGAAUAUGACAGCAUCACUGGCUAGCAACAUCUUCUGAUAUCCUGGAAUUAGUCGGGAUGGGCCAUGGAUCUGGAUCUGAAACUUUUAAAUCGAAAUGGGGACAAGAGCAUCCCUAUGACGUCAUUGGAGAAUCUGAGGCAUAGAGAAGCGAAGGGAUGGGCUUCUCGGAUUAGGAGUGAGCGAAGCAUGAGAACAGAGACCUCAAUUUCCCCUGGGCUGUUUCCCACCCUUCCUAGUUGGGAUUUCUCCUCCCCCAGCAUUUGUGCCCUUUGAGUUAGUAUUCUAGGCAUGAGACUGACCUAUUUCGAAGUGGGACAGGUUGGCGUCUCUAAAGCGGGUUCCACAGAAGACUCUGUUUUGAAGCAACAUGGUGGUAAAGAGGUUAACACUGAAUGGGAGUUUUACUUCCAGGCAGGGAUCUCGAGCCCUGGUGGAAAGACUGCAGCUGCCCUGUGGCCCAGAUAAUGCAACAUCGGGCUGAGCAAGGACAUCUGAGAACAUUCUGUUCUCCUCCCCCGAGACCAAUUAAAAUCUGGAGGCAUCUUUCUUGUUGAUCGAGCUGACUAACUAAUUGAAACGGAAUUGUGAUAUUUUCAUCAGCUUUCUCUUAUCCCUCUUGGCCUUGCCAGCAGAGAGCAAGUUGAAUGAUCAGAGAGUUUCAAGCAUGUGAGGCCCAGGGAACGGAACCCCUCUCACCGUAAACCACUACAUUUCCACGGAACAAGGUUCGAAAAAGGAUGAUGCGGGGUCGAGAGUAGGGCGAUACGCUCAAAUCUCAGUCUCAGUUCAUCCAGAUACCAAAGAUACCAUCUUCGGGAUUCCUGAUGAACCAUAAAGCUGUCCUUCAGCAGUUGCUGCUCCAAUAAACCAGCUUCUGACCUCUGCCUUCCUAACGAACAUCCCUCUGCCUGACUGCGGAAGCUCCUAGAAACAAAGAACCAAACGCCUCUGAGGCCCAACAAGAUCCCUUUCCUUCCAUUGAGCUAGAAUGUA
rnacentral:lncRNA from 1 species